UUUCCUCCGGCCGGAGUUGUGUCUGUCUCUUGUGUGUCUUGUCUUUGUGUCAUUUCACUCGCAAUCUCCAACAUCUGGCGCCCAACGUGGGGCUCGAGUGAAACCGAAAGGGUUUUGGACCCCAGCAAGAUUGAUCAAAAUCAACAAUGGCUGAUCCCUUUGAAGAGCUUACUAUGCAGAGAAGCUUUACUUUCCGUACAAGGGAAGCAACACCUCCUACAUGGGGUCAAAUGAAGAGGUUGACCCAGGAAGCAAAGAAGACAUUAAUGAAGGCGGGGCAACCUCUGAAUCCUACCAAUCUUUUGCUUGCCAUGAUGGCGGUGGUGACAUGUCAGUCUUCCAGCGAUGGCGGAAAGGGAAACAACUAAAGCGCAAAGCAGAGAAGAUCCAGACCAUGCUACAAUUUAUAAAAGCAAAUAAAAAAGGGGGAGAUGAAGGGUUAAUGCAGCCACAAUAGGGUAGUGGAGAUGUGCCUGCAAACGGGUCUCUCUGCUUGGGCUGAACGUGCUUGCAAACGAGGCGUUCUGCCAAGGAGACUGGACACAGCCUUGAGUUUAAUGGUCCCUUGCAAACGAGGGAACAUUCCCUUCCUUAUCAUUCCCUUCCUGUGAUGAGGAAGAAAGGGCUCUGGACAGACUCUGCAGUAAACCGGAAUUUCACUCCCUUUUGCUGUACGAUAACAUUUAUGCACAUGUGCUAUACUGAGAAGGCUUAGUCAUACAGCCUGGAAUUCUGCCCAGG